rnacentral:rRNA from 1 species
CCUACGGGAGGCAGCAGUGAGGAAUAUUGGUCAAUGGACGAGAGUCUGAACCAGCCAAGUAGCGUGAAGGAUGACGGCCCUAUGGGUUGUAAACUUCUUUUAUAAAGGAAUAAAACGAGGCACGUGUGCCUUUUUGCAUGUACUUUAUGAAUAAGGAUAGGCUAACUCCGUGCCAGCAGCCGCGGUAAUACGGAGGAUCCGAGCGUUAUCCGGAGUUAUUGGGUGUAAAGGGAGCGUAGAGGGGUUGUUAAGUCAGUUGUGAUAGUUUGCGGCUCCACCGUAAAAUUGCAAUUGAUACUGGCAGUCUUGAGUACAGUUGCGGUAGGCGGACUUCGUGGUGUAGCGGU